GCCUUCGUAGUGUAGUAGUCAGCACGCUCGACGCGUAUUCGAGAGGUCCGUGGUUCAAGUCCCGGCGAGGAUA
rnacentral:tRNA from 1 species